CUGUCGGGAAUGUGCGUGAGGGAAUCGCUCUGCCCGAAAAGUGUCCAUAACUUAAUAGAAGACGGUCCAAAAGCGUCUAAGACGGUCGGAAUUCGCGGUCAGGUUUUUUGAGUUGGAUAUGAUUUACUGAAGAUUUGGUGUUGGAAGUCGACGUUGCCGUCACCAGUAGCCAACUUCAUAGAAGAGACCAGCAGCAGAUAGCCACGAGGUGGCUUCCUGCUGGAGAAGAGGAUCCAGAGAACCAGAUGGCGAGCCAGAGCUGAUGAACAGCGGAUGAAUUACCUACCUUCUUAACUGUGGUGUGGUAGGACCACGAAGUACACACAAAUUAAAGGGCCCCAACGUAAACAAAUUGAGCUCAAAGAAGAAGGAAAUAAACAACAGAUUUAACAUAACAACCACAGAGGACACUUUCUUUUAUUUUUUUAUAUUAUUCUUGUGCGCACUUUAUUAUUUUUCUUGUUAAUUCAAUUGUAUUCUAUUGUCAUAUUGUUCUAUGAGUUCUAUUGAGUAUUAUAAUAAUACAGUGUUGAGAACUCAAUUUUGUGUGAGUGUGGUUUAUAUUGAUGUUUCUUCCUGGGCUCCAUGAGUGACUUCCUGGAAUUCUGAUAACUAGUCCAAAUAGAUCUAAUUGUGAAUAUUAAUAAUACUUGCAACCUCACUGUUAAAGGAGGGGUUACAUAAACUUGGCGAGCUAGCCAGGAGCCCGGUAGGUGACACCAAUAUUGCUAUUGUGCAACAUGGAUUUUAUCCAGAGGUCUGGUGUAAAAUUCCCCAAGUGUGGUGCCAUUCAGCGCACUGUUUUGGUUGAUGAUGAGUCCUCUGAAUUUCAUAAAAACCUGAUCGUCGAAUACUCCAGUGGCUCAGCUGUAGAAGCUUUGGAGUCACUAUUACCCUAUAGACACACACAAAAGAUGAUCCCAAUGUUGUGUAUAAUGUUCAGACCUUACGUAGUGUUUACACUUCCAAGCUAGGUAGCAGUGCUACUAAAACCUACCUAACAGAGCUAAAAGAGCUAGCAAAGCUUAGCGGCAAUGACUAUGAAGUGGUUUUAAGAGAAAUGAUGACACAGAUUAGUAAUGAUGUUGAAAGCAUGCAAUCUGCUGAUGAUCCGUCACUGUUAGCACUCAGUGAGACCCCUGUGGAGUCCCCACAGCCCACCAGUCCUUUCCAGGUCCCCCUCAGAAUGGCAAUGACGUAAACGUCACUGCAGCAGUACCAGUCAAUGAUGAGAGACGAGUUCCAUCCCUCUCUGUAAGUGAUGUCAAUCCACCAGAGGUUCAGAAAGUUGUGGUUGAACACAUUGUGAGGAGGGAGGACACAGGUUCUUACUUUUCAUCCCCUGUCCGACUUCGUUUAUUUUCUGGGAAAAUCCCCAGGCAUAAUUGCGAAGCAGAUUAUGACACUUGGUGCUUGCACAUUGAACUUCUCUUGAAUGAUCACAGCAUAUCUCCUCUUCACGUGUCCCGAAGGAUCCUAGAGAGUUUGCUUUCACAAGCAGCAGAUGUGGUUAGGGCUCUGUCCAAAUUCACUGCCUUCUGCCUACCUGCAACUGCUGGAUUCGGCUUUUGGUGCAGCUGAGGAUGGAGAAGAGCUGUUUGCUCAAUUUAUGAAUACCCUCCAGGAUCCGGGCGAGAAGGCACGCUGCCCUCGGUUGAGUUUCCCUCAACUAGCGAAAUGAAGUAAAUGCCAGUGAGUAAAAGACUGACCAAUAUUCUUCCUUGUCCAGCCUCUUGUUUCUAUGCUGCCUCUGCCAUGACAUCCACUCAAUGAAUAGUUUCCCCCUGUGAAGACAAGUGGGGACAUUAUUUAAAGGUUGAGCUUUACAUUGGUGUACAUUGAAAAGGCUUUUGUUUUUAAUGUAGCAGACAGAGUUGCCCUUCUAGUUUGCAUGGUUUACAAUGACAAUAAAUACAUGUUUUGUGGCUAAAUAUGA